rnacentral:misc_RNA from 1 species
GAUGAAGAACGCAGCAAAAUGCGAUAAGUAGUGUGAAUUGCAGAAUUCAGUGAAUCAUCGAAUCUUUGAACGCACAUUGCGCCCCUUGGUUAUUCCGAAGGGCAUGCCUGUUCGAGCGUCAUUAUCACCCCUCAAGCCCUGGCUUGGUGUUGGACUUUAGUUAUAGCUUUGCCUAUCAACUGGUCUCAAAGAUAGUGACGGCGCCCCAGAGGGAACCGGGUACGAGGAGCUUUUUACUAAGCAUGUAUCUGGGACGACUCUGAUGGGCGACGGUCUUGUUAUACUUUUUACCUAAGUGUUGACCUCGGAUCAGGUAGGAAUACCCGCUGAACUUAAGCAUAUCAAUAAGCGGAGGA